UACGAAGGGGGGCUAGCGUUGCUCGGAAUCACUGGGCGUAAAGAGCUCGUAGGCGGUUCGGUAAGUCAGGUGUGAAAACUCCAGGCUCAACUUGGAGACGCCACCUGAUACUGUCGUGACUAGAGUCCGGUAGGGGAGCAUGGAAUUCCAGGUGUAGCGGUGAAAUGCGUAGAUAUCUGGAGGAACACCGGUGGCGAAGGCGGCAUCCUGGACCAAUAUUGACGCUGAGGAGCGAAAGCCAGGGGAGCAAACGGG
rnacentral:rRNA from 1 species